AGCUGAAUUUCUUGCACUAUUUCUUCUUUUUGCAUUGGAGAGAAAAAGAUGAGAGAUAAACGGCACAAGUUCACUGAAAGAACAAACCUCUAUGAAAAUAGGAGCACCGCUUAUCUUGGCGGCCUCGGCGUUCUUCGCAAACUUCGUUGCACGAACUUACGAUGAGACCUGUAUCUCUUGAUAACUUGAUUUUUUUCAUUCUAAUAAUUGUGUAAUCGUGACUAAAUGAUAAUCAGCAUAAGUAAGCGAUGUCAUUUUAAUCUUGAAAUAAGUUUGAAUUCAUUAAUAUUUCAAGUUCAUUUUAUUAAGAUAAUUAUAGUUGCAGAAAUAUUUUAGCAAGUUUUGAUAUUAUCUAAAAUGAAUGAGACACAAGAAAUUGUUA